rnacentral:rRNA from 1 species
UACGUAGGGGGCGAGCGUUGUCCGGAAUUACUGGGCGUAAAGGGUGCGCAGGCGGUUUUUUAAGUCAGGUGUGAAAUACCCGGGCUCAACCCGGGGGGUGCAUUUGAAACUGGGAGACUUGAGUGCAGGAGAGGGGAGCGGAAUUCCUAGUGUAGCGGUGAAAUGCGUAGAUAUUAGGAGGAACACCAGUGGCGAAGGCGGCUCUCUGGACUGCAACUGACGCUGAGGCACGAAAGCGUGGGGAGCAAACAGG